rnacentral:tRNA from 1 species
GUCCUCGUAGCUUAAACUAAAGCAUAGCACUGAAGAUGCUAAGACGGGAACCACCNNCCCAAGGACA